rnacentral:rRNA from 1 species
GACGUAGGGCGCAAGCGUUGUCCGGAUUUAUUGGGCGUAAAGAGCUCGUAGGCGGCUUGUCGCGUCGACUGUGAAAACCCGCGGCUCAACCGUGUGGUCUGCAGUCGAUACGGGCAGGCUAGAGUUCGGUAGGGGAGACUGGAAUCCUGGUGUAGCGGUGAAAUGCGCAGAGUAUCAGGAGGAACACCGGUGGCGAAGGCGGG